UUUAUGUCACAAAUUGACAUAAAAAGUAUCAAUUAAUAUCUAAAUUAUCUAACUUUAUUAGAAAAUUGAUACUUGUUAUUAUAUUUUACAGAAGAAGAGGUCAUCAAUAGAAAGAACAAGGAAAGAGGAUUCUAACGGCGUAAAUUUUACGCAAAACGGAGUUAAAUUGACCCAGGAAUUGAAGAAUGAAGAAAGAAGACUCAAUUGGGUCAAACCCGAGUCAAAUCAGGUCAAAAUUGGUCAAAAAUCAACUGAUUUGGUGAUCUGGUUAGCCGCCUGGUCCACAGCAACAGGUGCCUGGACCAUGGAUCCAUCGACGCACCAUAAACCAGCCAAUCAGCGAGUCUCGGCUCACCGCAACGCAUCACGAGCCCGAUCCACACGCGCGGUCCAGGGCUCAUAAGGAGAGAGAAGAAGGUCCGAAGGGCAACCUGGUAACUUCACAUCACUCGAUGGUCCGAUCUUCUCUGAUCAAGAUCCAAUGCUCCAUAUUUUUGCGCCAUCGGACGGCCACCAUCGCAGCCGGUCAAGAUCCAACCGUAAUCAAGGCAAUUGCAAGAAUCAAUAAACACUAGGACAACACGGGAUCCUUCUGCAGCGUGAUCCAACGGAUGAAAUCUUCCAGC
rnacentral:lncRNA from 1 species